AGCAGUAUGCAGGAAUCAUACGAAGAAGAAACCCUGUUCAGUAAAGAUAUGUCGCAGAUGCCUAUGGAACAGGUAUGGUGAAGAGGUGGAGGAAGUAGCUAGUUUGGAGGAAUGGAAGUGCCCGAAAUGCAGGGGCGCUUGCAACUGCAGUGUGUGCUUGAAGAGAAGAGGCCUUCAACCCAUGGGUGUACUUACCAAUGCAUGUAUAGUUUAAUUUUGAUUGAUGCAAUCAAUAAAACGUGUUUCAAAAAUGCAUACAUGGAAAGCGUAACUAGUUUUUCAAAUUCGUUAAGUCAUUUAUUCUUUCUUAGAAUUGAAGUUGUAGGCCUU